GAUGAACGCUGGCGGCGUGCUUAACACAUGCAAGUCGAACGGAAAGGCCCCAGCUUACUGGGGUACUCGAGUGGCGAACGGGUGAGUAACACGUGGGUGAUCUGCCCAUCAGACGGGGACAACGAUUGGAAACGAUCGCUAAUACCGGAUAGGACGAAAGUUUAAAGGUGCUUCUGGCACCGCUGAUGGAUGAGCCUGCGGCGCAUUAGCUAGUUGGUAGGGUAAAGGCCUACCAAGGCGACGAUGCGUAGCCGACCUGAGAGGGUGAACGGCCACACUGGGACUGAGACACGGCCCAGACUCCUACGGGAGGCAGCAGUAGGGAAUCUUCGGCAAUGGGCGAAAGCCUGACCGAGCAACGCCGCGUGAAUGAUGAAGGCCUUCGGGUUGUAAAAUUCUGUUAUAAGGGAAGAACGACUUUAGUAGGAAAUGGCUAGAGUGUGACGGUACCUUAUGAGAAAGCCACGGCUAACUACGUGCCAGCCGCCGCAGUAA
rnacentral:rRNA from 1 species